rnacentral:lncRNA from 1 species
UAUAUUUUAUCUACAUACUACUAAAAGUUAAAUCCUGGAAACAUAAUGGCCUAAGGAAGGAGAAGUUUUAAGAAGCCAUAGUACUUCAUGACGUUGAAGAAUUGGUGUCGUGGUAGUGAGAGAGAGCAGGUGUAUGUUCAGGUCAGGUUACUAUCUUGCCCAGGCUGGUCUUGAAUCCCUGGCCUCAAGUGAUCCCCUAACUAGAGGUGCUGCUAUAGUACCCAGCUAUGAUGUUUUUCUAAGUGGCAGUGUGUUUGUAAAUAUAUAUAUAAUAUAUAAUUCUUUAAAAUAUGUCAAAAAUUAAAAAUAAAAACAUGACAUUCAUACCUAUUCAAAAUGCAAAGGGUGA